GGACGCCGAAGGUGGGGCUAAUGACUGGGGUGAAGUCGUAACAAGGUAGCCGUACCGGAAGGUGCGGCUGGAUCACCUCCUAACAGGGAGACAACAAAAUGUAAAUAUUAAUUUUGUCACCUUAGGUCGAUCGGUAUCUCAGAUUCUUAUUUUUUUAAGAAUUUCAGUUUCUAAGUUUUUUCUAGGUCACACCCAUCACUUUUUCCUGGGCCAUUAGCUCAGGUGGUUAGAGCGCACCCCUGAUAAGGGUGAGGUCCCUGGUUCAAGUCCAGGAUGGCCCAUAUCUCUAUGUUGGGGGUAUAGCUCAGUUGGUAGAGCGCCUGCUUUGCAAGCAGGAUGUCAGCGGUUCGAGUCCGCUUACCUCCACUGAAUACCACCUCUUACAUAUAUUUAAAGAGGGAAAUUGUUUUGAGUCGUGUCCUAAUUUGCUCUGAGCGAAUCUAGCUUCCUAUUUUAUUCAUUAAAUAAGAUGCUGGACUCAUUGAAUUUUUUUUCAUUGUUUUCAGAGAACCUUGACAACUGCAUAGAUUAUUUUUGAAGACAAUAAGCAUCUUUAAUGAUGCAGAUUUAUUAUUUGUGCGAAUGCAUUAAAUAACAAUUCUAUUAAGCUGAUGCUUCAAUUUUUGAAGUUAUUGGUCAAGCUACAAAGGGCUCACGGA
rnacentral:misc_RNA from 1 species